AGUAACCUUGGUAUGUGUACCCUAGGCUGGCUCUAGGACAGGCCUCUUUAAGGUCAGUUAGAAGUUAACUUUUACCUCUUCCUUCGUAACCUAGGACUCUGGGUGAGACGGUCCCAUUCGCUGGCUAGAAGAAUGAGGUUCCUGUUAGUACCCAGAAAAUACCCUAGAGGGAGACGGAACCCAUGGAAACAGCACAGAGGUCACCAUGUUUUAAGCUCCUGUCCUUGGCAACACAGUUAAAAAGUGAAUCUCCAUAAUCCAACCAUUCCUUACAAGAGAAGGGGCCACCUAUCACAGAUACUGAAUGUUGGAUCAUGGGAUACCAAGUGACUGUGACAGCCAUGCUGCUUGUGCUGUUCAUGGUAGCGCAUUCGCCCAGCCAUAGAGUCAGGUGUGUCCAGCAUUACUACGAAGGUGAGUGUAGGUUUAGAAAUUUAAAACUGACUCAAGAGAAGAAAAGUUCUGAAGAAGUAGCAUGUCACCCCCCUGUUCCUGGGAAGAUGAAAAGGUGAAGAUCCCCAGAAGCCUACACCUGAACACACUUGUGACCCUAAGGCUUUUGCUUCAGAGUCUGCACUUUAUUAAGCAUCUGAGAAUACAUGCUGAAGAGAAACCCUAUCACUGUAAAGAAUAUGAUAAAAGUCAGAAUGCAGGUCUGACAUCACAUCAAAGGCUGCACACAAGAGAGAGACCUUAUAGGUGUAAGGAGUUUGGGAAAGCCUUCAGUGAGAACUCACACCUCCUUAAACAUCCCAGAAUUCAGACGGGGGCAGGGAGGGGCGACUUUAUCAGUGUGCUGAAUGUGGGAAAUGCUUUACUGAGAGCAAAGGUUUUAUUUCACAUCGGAAAAUCCACAUUGGAGAGAGACCUUGUAAUUAUGAUGAAUGUGGGGAAGCUUUCCACAACAGCACAAACCUUUUUAGACAUUAAAAAAGAAAAACAUAUCAGAGAGGGAAAAAGACAUAACUGAUGAAUGUGUGUAAAACUUUAGAUUUCCCUUGUAAUUGACCUUUAGAGAUGUUCAGAGGAAA